rnacentral:rRNA from 1 species
UACGUAGGGGGCUAGCGUUGUCUGGAAUCAUUGGGCGUAAAAGCGCGUGUAGGCGGUUCGGUAAGUCCGCUGUGAAAGUCGGGGGGCUCAACCCUCGGAAGCCGGUGGAUACUGUCGAGCUAGAGUACGGAAGAGGCGAGUGGAAUUCCUGGUGUAGCGGUGAAAAUGCGCAGAUAUCAGGAGGAACACCGGUGGCGAAGGCGGGGUCUCUGGGGCCGAAAACUGACGCUGAGGGAGCGAAAAGCGUGGGGGGAGCAAAACAGGG